CCUACGGGAGGCAGCAGUGGGGAAUAUUGGACAAUGGGGGCAACCCUGAUCCAGCCAUGCCGCGUGUGUGAUGAAGGCCCUCGGGUUGUAAAGCACUUUCAGUGAGGAAGAACGCCUGGUGGUUAAUACCCAUCAGGAAAGACAUCACUCACAGAAGAAGCACCGGCUAACUCCGUGCCAGCAGCCGCGGUAAUACGGAGGGUGCGAGCGUUAAUCGGAAUUACUGGGCGUAAAGCGCGCGUAGGUGGCUUGAUAAGCCGGUUGUGAAAGCCCCGGGCUCAACCUGGGAACGGCAUCCGGAACUGUCAAGCUAGAGUGCAGGAGAGGAAGGUAGAAUUCCCGGUGUAGCGGUGAAAUGCGUAGAGAUCGGGAGGAAUACCAGUGGCGAAGGCGGCCUUCUGGACUGACACUGACACUGAGGUGCGAAAGCGUGGGUAGCAAACAGGAUUAGAUACCCCAGUAGUC
rnacentral:rRNA from 1 species